ensembl:lncRNA
ACAAAGGCCAGUUCUUAUUCAAGGGAAUGAGAAUUAGAGUCCAUCUCUCAGGGGAAAAAGUCACAACAAAUGUGUGGCCAACUCUAAUCUACCAUAAGGAGCAAUGAACAAAGCAGAGUGAUUUAAGUAAAUUGUCAAUGUCCAAGAGCAGGAGCAACUGUCAGAGAAAGAGGAACAGGAUGAGUGUAGAGGGCUUUGAAGGAUACUUUCUGGUCUGGGUAUAUUUGGUUGUGAAGAACAGAGACUCAUUCAAGCCAGUUUAAGAAAAACAAGGACCUAUUCAGAAGCACAACAGGCAAGCAUAACGGCAUUCCAGGACAAGAGCAGACAUAAAUCAGGAUAAAUUUUAAAUUGAUGAGAGCUCUGUCAACACCAGCAAAAGGUAUUGACCUUCUUGUGGUAAAGUUCACUGAAGUACAUGGCUAAAGAAAUUGAAAGAGAGCUUCCGGAGGGUCUGUGUAAAGUCCAGACAUGGAGAUGGAUGGAUACUCCCAAUGCUACGCUUUGGUUCAAGAUCCCAAAAAACAGUUAUGACAAUACACAGUAGGGUUGUUUCCAAAUCAAGUAGUAUUGAUGGGAAAAGGAGAUGGGGAGACAAACCCUAUAUUAGAAUCCAGAACCUCAGUUAGUACCCAGCUUACCCAGGCCCUACUAUAUAUUUAAAACCAGGCAAAAGAUAAGCUUGAAGUCCCUGAAAUUUUCUUAAGGCUAAAGCUUUCAUAAUAUCCUGAGAUUAUGGAUAUAAAGGAAGAAAUCUGUGCUUACCUACUGGAUUAUUCGUGCCAUUUUGAGGUCAAACUCUGAACGCUGAACUUUGGUUCUCUGGUUGAACAUUUGAGGUCCCUGUGCAUUAAAUAAUUUACACAGCAAGCAGGACUUUAACUCCAAUCCUUUUCCUCCUAAUGGGGUGGAAUUUUGUGCACAAGUAUAGACUCACAGCUCUAAAACCAAACAGCUGUUGCUGACCAAAAAAUAAAACAACAAUAACAACAACAAUUAGUCCUGUAUUUAAAGAAAGAAAGAAAAAGAAUUGUCCAGCCCAAAAGACAAGAGCUAUUUUGAUUGUACAAGAAAGAACAUAAUCAGAGUCAGGAACACAAUGGAGGAAAUAUUCCCAAAGGAAAUCAAGAUUAAGAUGCACACUUGGGCCUCUUCCUACAAGCGCCAACCUCCCAAGCCCACAGGUCAUUUUGCUUGACAAUGUCACAUCGAUUCACAUUUCACAAUGUGCUCUUAACUUUAGAAUCUUAAUGUGCUGGCUGGAAUUAGCUGUGUCUUUGGAGCAGAGCCUGAUCUUGGCCAUGUCCUUCUUUGGAGAGACUUCCUGGUUGGCUAGAGGCAUCAGCAAGAUGCCUUGUCAUUCUGGUAAAUGAGAACCAAGAAGAAAUAAACAAUAAAUGUGUGUGUAUACAUGUAUAUACAUGUAUAUACGUAUGUGUAUAUAUACAAACACAUAUAUGCAUAUAUACAUGAAUUGAACAUAUGUAUUAUAUACAUAUAAACAUGUGGCAUGUCAUGUCCUUGCAAAACACUGGGAAACCAUGCUUUGAAGAGAACAUGGAUAUUCUGAAAAACUUUCAUGUUCCAUAAUGACUGUAGUAAUGAUUUCAUCAUGUUGUACACCUUAAAUAUAUACAAUUUUUAUUUUAAAAAAUAAAAUAUAAAAACAUAGGAAAGGAGGAAAUGAGACUUCCUGUGUUCAGUGCAGCCAAUGGUAAUGGGUCAAACUCUCUGGCCCCGUUAUUGGAAGGAAAAUGGAGUUCAGGCCACUAGGAAGCUGCAGGGAAGAAAGAGGAAAGGCUUCUGAAGACUGGCAUGAACUGUGUGAGUCACUGGGUAGGGGAAGGAAACCGAGAUUCUGUGGGCCCACUUCCUUUCCUCAGCCCCACUUUGGGGCUCAGGACUGUGGGCACAUUUCUGAGUGUCCUGGUGGUGGCUGGGGUGGGGAGGAGCAGAGCCCAGAGUCAGCCUGCUGUGCUGAUCAUCUGCUGCCCCGAGGAUUUCCUCCAGAGGCAAUCCAGAAGGAAAUACCCCUAAUGCCACCAAUCCUUUUCCUUGCUUCCCUCUGUGCCACACCCUUUCCCAGCCUCGCUUCCCCAGAAGUAAGACACACUAUCAGCCUAAGUAGCAUCCCUUCCCUGAGAGGUCAUGGUCUACAGUCUCCGUCUCUCAGGUAUGAAGAGGCUGCGGCAGAAGGAAAUCCAGCCUCUCCAGUUGCACAGGGCGGCAGGCACUCUCCUCCUGGCCUUAUGAGCAGAGUGUCCCUCAGCGUUUGUGACUGACAGGCGGGCCCUGCCUCCUGGGUAACAGGACGGACACUGGGUUCAAGCCUCCUGUGUGAGGCUGGGCCUCACCCGGUACUUUCACACAAGGUCCCAUCCUGCCGCUGUCUGCAGUGUCACCCUCCAGGCAGUCAUCGUGGAACCUGCUCCUCGGUGGAACACCACCCACAACCACCCAUUGCCCCUACAAGGGACAGGAGAGCUGAGGUUUCAGGGCCCAAGUGUAGAUGCAAAUUGGAGUAUUUUUAAUGUUCUGAGAAUGAUAGUGAAAACACCUUAAGGACAAGAGUUGCAUUUAAUCUGCAAAUGUGGAUUGAGAAGAACCCCUGAAAGUGACUAUAAAAGAAUCAUAAUGAUGUUAUAAGAACAGGUGUAGUUGAGUGGGGUGGAGUUUAGGGGUGGCAUCAUGGAGAGCUGUGGGUGUUCGGGAGCCACCCUUACCCGGUAGAUGUCUGUGAGUUGAUGAAGAGAAGAGCAGUGCACCUGACAGGAGAGCCACAUGGAAGAGCCCAAGCAGAGAAGGUCCUUGCGGAGGGAGGAGAGGCGCACCACACAAAAAGCCUUAGCUGGAGAUGCUGGACUACUGAGCCCGCCAUUUACCCAGAAACCAGCAUGGCGCAGGACCUAGCUGGCAAACAGGACAGGUCCUUACCUCUCCAGAGACCCAAAGAAGGUGACCUGCAG